rnacentral:rRNA from 1 species
UACGGGGGGAGCAAGCGUUUGUUCGGAUUUACUGGGCGUAAAGGGCGGGUAGGCGGCCACUGCAAGUCGGUUGUGAAAUCUCCGGGCUUAACUCGGAAAGGUCAAUCGAUACUGCAGGGCUAGAGUGCAGAAGGGGCAACUGGAAUUCUCGGUGUAGCGGUGAAAUGCGUAGAUAUCAGAGGGACACCUGCGGCGAAGGCGGGUUGCUGGGCUGACACUGACGCUGAACUGCGAAAGCUAGGGGGAGCA